rnacentral:rRNA from 1 species
AAAGAAACCAACAGGGAUUGCCCCAGUAACGGCGAGUGAAGCGGCAACAGCUCAAAUUUGAAAUCUGGCCCCCCCGCGGGGUCCGAGUUGUAAUUUGAAGAGGAUGCUUCUGGCGAGGCGCCGUCCGAGUUCCCUGGAACGGGACGCCGCAGAGGGUGAGAGCCCCGUACGGUCGGACGCCGAGCCUAUGUGAAGCUCCUUCGACGAGUCGAGUAGUUUGGGAAUGCUGCUCAAAAUGGGAGGUAAACCCCUUCUAAAGCUAAAUACCGGCCAGAGACCGAUAGCGCACAAGUAGAGUGAUCGAAAGAUGAAAAGCACUUUGAAAAGAGAGUUAAAAAGCACGUGAAAUUGUUGAAAGGGAAGCGCUUGCGACCAGACUCGCGCCCGUCGGAUCAGCCGUCGCUCGUCGGCGGCGCACUCCGGCGGGCUCGGGCCAGCAUCGGUUCGCCUCGGGGGGAGAAAGGCGGCGGGAAUGUGGCUCUACGGAGUGUUAUAGCCCGCCGUGCAAUACCCCCGGGCGGACCGAGGACCGCGCGUAUGCAAGGAUGCUGGCGUAAUGGUCGUCAGCGACCCGUCUUGAAACACGGACC